UAGGUGUUUGGUGUUGCAGUCCGUAUGC
rnacentral:piRNA from 1 species